GACGAACGCUGGCGGCGUGCUUAACACAUGCAAGUCGACAUGAGUGGCGAACGGGUGAGUAAUACGUGGGUAACCUGCCCUCCUUUUUGGGAUAAGCCUUGGAAACGGGGUCUAUUACCGAAUAAAGGGGGAUGGGCUCGCGGCCUGUCAGCGUGUUGGUGGGGUGAUUGCCUACCAAGGCGGUGACGGGUAGCCGGCCUGAGAGGGUGAACGGCGACGUUGGGACUGAGCUAAGGCCCAGACUCCGAAGCGGGGCAGCAGUGUGGAAUAUUGAACAAUGGGCGACAGACUGAUGCCGUGACGGCGCGUGAGGGUGGCAGGUUGUAGGGUUGUAAACCUAUUGAGCUAUAGAACGGGUAGGUGGAGAGGAAGCGCCGGCUAACUACGUGCCAGCAGCCGCGGUAAUAC
rnacentral:rRNA from 1 species